rnacentral:rRNA from 1 species
CCUACGGGAGGCUGCAGUGGGGAAUAUUGGACAAUGGGCGAAAGCCUGAUCCAGCCUUGCCGCGUGUGUGAAGAAGGCCGUCGGGUUGUAAAGCACUUUCAGUGGGGAAGAAAGCCUUGGGGCUAAUACCCUCGAGGAAGGACAUCACCCACAGAAGAAGCACCGGCUAACUCCGUGCCAGCAGCCGCGGUAAUACGGAGGGUGCGAGCGUUAAUCGGAAUUACUGGGCGUAAAGCGCGCGUAGGCGGUCUGAUAAGCCGGUUGUGAAAGCCCCGGGCUCAACCUGGGAACGGCAUCCGGAACUGUCAGGCUUGAGUGCAGGAGAGGAAGGUAGAAUUCCCGGUGUAGCGGUGAAAUGCGUAGAGAUCGGGAGGAAUACCAGUGGCGAAGGCGGCCUUCUGGACUGACACUGACGCUGAGGUGCGAAAGCGUGGGUAGCAAACAGGAUUAGAUACCCCGGUAGUC